CACAUGCAGGUCGAGCGGAGACAGUGAGUAGCUUGCUAUGAGCUGUUUUAGCGGCGGACGGGUGAGUAACGCGUGAGCAACCUUUCCCAGACAGGGGAAUAACACACCGAAAGGUGUACUAAUACCGCAUAAAACCACGGGAUCACAUGGUUCUGGGGUAAAAGAUUUAUCGGUUUGGGGUGGGCUCGCGUCCGAUUAGGUAGUUGGUGAGGUAACGGCCCACCAAGCCGACGAUCGGUAGCCGACCUGAGAGGGUGAUCGGCCACAUUGGGACUGAGACACGGCCCAAACUCCUACGGGAGGCAGCAGUGGGGAAUAUUGGGCAAUGGGGGGAACCCUGACCCAGCAACGCCGCGUGGAGGAAGAAGGUUUUCGGAUCGUAAACUCCUGUCCUUGGAGACGAGUAGAAGACGGUAUCCAAGGAGGAAGCCCCGGCUAACUACGUGCCAGCAGCCGCGGUAAUACGUAGGGGGCAAGCGUUGUCCGGAAUAAUUGGGCGUAAAGGGCGCGUAGGCGGCUCGGUAAGUCUGGAGUGAAAGUCCUGCUUUUAAGGUGGGAAUUGCUUUGGAUACUGUCGGGCUUGAGUGCAGGAGAGGUUAGUGGAAUUCCCAGUGUAGCGGUGAAAUGCGUAGAGAUUGGGAGGAACACCAGUGGCGAAGGCGACUAACUGGACUGUAACUGACGCUGAGGCGCGAAAGUGUGGGGAGCAAACAGGGUUAGAUACCCUGGUAGUCCACACUGUAAACGAUGAAUGCUAGGUGUAGGGGGUAUCGACCCCUUCUGUGCCGCAGUCAACACAAUAAGCAUUCCGCCUGGGGAGUACGGCCGCAAGGUUGAAACUCAAAGGAAUUGACGGGGGCCCGCA
rnacentral:rRNA from 1 species